AGUAAUAAUUUAAGUCCACUUCACUUACAUUGUAAACUGUUAAUAAAAGGCAAUUUGACAAUGCAUACAUAUAGUGCGAUGAUCAAACUAAAAAUUUGUUACAAAUUAAUAUCUAUUUGAUGCGUUUAACAAAUUCUUGCAUAAUAACCGUCCACCAUGACCGCUCCACCACCAUCCUGAGGCUCGACAUGAGUCAACUUUAAUCGUGCCAAAUAUACAUUGUUUGGAUCCUCAUGCACAUUAAGCAACAUUCUUAAUUUUUUUUCUACCUAUAAACCACUAUUCUUCUUCGUCUUCGUUCUCCUGCUCCUCUUCACUUACUAUCUCUACAUUCCCUGUCCAAGCCAACCGCAACCAUCAAUGGCCCAUCCGGCUCAAAAUCCCCAAACCUUCUACACCCAGACUACAAAUUUUAAGGGACUUUUUGCCAAUAUUUUCUCCUUUCAAGUCUGCAAACAACAAUAUUAAUGUAAAGUAAUUAGUGUAAAGUGGUUUAUGCCCACUCAUGGCCAGUACAACCACAAACUCUGCCGUCUCGCCUACAUGAUGUGUGUCUACUCCCACAAUUUUCCCCCUUACUCUAGCGAGGCCUCCAUUACUUCCGAAUAUUUUGUUCGGAUUAUUUGCCAUCAAGGAUAAAUUAGCAUAUGUGAUAAAAGUCCCUAUGAUUUGACACUAUAGAGGUAGAGCAACAUGAAAAAUAAAAGAUCAUGCUUAUAAUCUUUGGACUUUUGUAGUUUAAAAAAAUGGCGAUAAUCUUACAACAUUUUUCAAACUCCCGUCCUAAUUGAAAAUGAUUGAUGCAUUAAGGAACACCUAUGGAAUCCAAAAAAAAAACUAAUAGCAAGCGACAGUGACAUGGAUGGCUACCUUAUUGCUUUGGAAGUGGAUGGCAUGAGCCGUCCCCCAUAUGCACGAAACAGUCCUAGCCAUGCACAGUUAGCCAAGAAACAUUGGGUCAAAACAAGGGUGUUGGUACCUUGAGCAACGACGCCAUCACGUUGAUAAAUGCCCAACCCAAUUGCUCGUCGCCAUCCUCGGCCACCACCUGGACACACUCCUCUAGACCCAGGCGUUUCGAACGACAUCCUCCCUGCUUCCCCUGGGCGAUGGCCGACUACCGUAACUUCUCUGGAGCGAAUCCUUCCAAAGCGCUGCCGACAACAUCGUCCCUGUGGCGCUGCUCCUUCCUUUUCGUGCCUUUUGCUUCAUUCACCUCCUUCCUAUGAAGUUUUAGUUACAAGGUACAUUUCAGUAAUCAGUAAAAAAUGCAGAUAUUAGUACAAGAAAAAUGUGCCACUUGACAAAGUUUUAGUAGAAAUCAGAUUUUCGUACAACAAGAUAUUUUAGUACGUACUAAAAAGAAUAGUACAAGGGCAAUAAUCCAAACAAUAUCAUCAGAAGUAUGAAACUGAACCUUUAGUCGCAGCAGGUGACUACCCUUGUCAUCUCAAGAUUCAAGCCUCUCCUCUUAUCUUGUUCUCCGAGCAUGCACUAAAAACUGCAAAAAAUACAGAACAUGUACAUGUGUGAACUGAAAUAGUGGAACUCAAACAAACCUUCAUCGAUAGAUCUUUCUUGAACUAUAUGGUCGAUUAUGUACAUGGUCCUCAUAAUGAAAACUAAAAUAUUGAGUUAGCCUUUCCCAUAUCUUUUUUGAAGAAAAUCAUAAGCAUCAGCACCUACUAUGUGGAAGACAAAUCUCCCAGCUUGUUUAUGAUUCAGAACUCAACUGCAUUCAGGCCAAUACGAAUAGCAUCUCAAGGAUCUAGGUAAAUACCUGGAACAAAACUCAAUGAAGAACCAUAACAUCAGUCAAAACUAAACAUGGAAAUUUUGAACUCACUGACUUUAUGUCAGUCCAGUAGAACGCCCGUGCAUUGCUACGGGCUACAAUGCAUAUAAAUAAAUCAAAAAAAUAAUUAAAUUCUAAAGUGGAAGCUCAUUUCUCCCUCCUACUUUCGAGUGUGAACGUACAUCAAACGGACAUCUAACAGGAUCCCCAAAAUUCAACCGUCUGGAGAAUAGGGUAUCUUCAAAUCCAUGCAUAUCCAUAUGUGAGGAAGAAAUAUGGUUAUCCAGACUAUCUGCCAUGUUAUCUCUAACAUGCGCGGACCGAACAAAUUAAAAAAAACACCCACGACGCACCCUUCUCCUUCCCUGCCGAACCCUCACCUCCCCGCUCAUUUCCCGCCAUAGCGGGACAUUUUUCACUGGAGCCCUCUCCAUUGAAACCAGAUAACGCCCAUCUCACCUUUGUCAUGUCGCACUCUCUUCUUCACAUUGUAUUUCCCCACGGACCGCCGAGGAGUCCCCCGCCAACCGCCCCGCUCUCCAUUUUGUUCCCCUCCCCAUGUGUUUCUGUCGAUAGGGGGGAGUUGUGCGCCACCUAUGACACCCUCCGAGCCAAGAAGGUAGAUCUGAUGUCUCCUUAGCCAUUUUCAGAUUGUAACAUAUAGUUCCCCUCCCCAUGUGUUUUUGUGGAACCAACGUCGGGGGUCAGCUGAGCGCCACCCUGGCGCUGGUUUUGGCAAUGCUCCAUGUGCCCAGAGAUUCCGCAUGAUCCACCGAUGCAGUGAAGGCAGGAUAUUCCUGUUAGUACUGUAUAUAUGUCAUUAGGGCCUCUUGUACUGCCUUCAAGAUUAAAAAAAUAGAUCUAUACAAGAAAAGCAGAUCCUUCAAAAUUGCAAUAUCAACAAAUAUUACACCUAUGCAUUACUAAGGUCUAAGGAGUAUUAAAAUAUGAGAUUUACAGGAAACAAAUUGGAAAACUAUUGAGAUAUUUCAAAAGAGAAAACAUAUAUACAAGGGAAUAUAUUGCUUCAAUUCUCACAUUUUCAGGCCUGUCACCUCCAUCGUAAUUAUAUGCGUCUUUAUCCCUCUAGGACUACAGGAGAAAAAUGCAUAUGCACACGUUAGUGGGUACCAUGUUAACAAAAGAAAGUUCUUUCGAUUAACAAUAGCAGUACCAUAAAUGUUGUUCCACUUCUCUACAGCGCAAUGGUUGCCUGGCACUGAAAAGUCUAUCUCAUUCUU
rnacentral:lncRNA from 1 species